rnacentral:lncRNA from 1 species
UAGGAUUUCCUUUUAUCCAAGAGUUUUAAUUAUACAAGUUUUUAAAAUAAAUAAAAUAAAUAAUAGCCACCUACUUAGAGUAUUAUAAGAAUUUUCUUAUUUUAUAAACUUAAAAUAGGAUAAGAUUAUAUAUGUAUCCACUGCAACAUGUAUUAUUAUUUUCAGUUAAAAAAAAAAGAAAUACCCUAAGAUAGUACUAAAAAAGUUUCUGUCACAAAAUAUUUCAUUAAAAAGGUAAAUAUACACUUAUACCCUUAGGGUUAACUAAUUCAAACCUUAGAGUUUAGAGUUAAGGGGUGUAUAUGUAUCCACCGCAACAUGUAUGAUUAUUUUCAGUUAAAAAAAAAAAGAAAUAUCCUAAGAUAGUACUAAAAAAGUUUAUGUCACAAAAUGUUUUAUUAAUGAGGUAAAUAUACACCAAUACCUCUGGUAUUAACUAAUUCAAACCUUAGGGUUUAGAGUUAAGGGGUGUGGAUUUGGGAUUGAAUUUAAAAUUUUAUAAAAUAAAAUAUAAAUAUUUAAAAUUUGAAAAUAAAAAUUUUAAAAAUAAUUUCAAAAAGUAUUUUCGAAUUACAAAAAGAAAA